rfam:Lupinus angustifolius cultivar Tanjil chromosome LG02, whole genome shotgun sequence.
AAGCUGGAUUAUGGUGCCUAACUGUGCGCUAACCUAGACCCCACAAAGGGUGUUGGUCGAUUAAGACAAUAAGACGGUGGUCAUGGAAGUCGAAAUCCGCUAAGGAAUGUGUAAGAACUCACCUGCCGAAUCAACUAGCCCCGAAAAUGGAUGGCGCUAAAGCGCACGACCUAUACCCGACCAUCGGGAGAAGGGUCAGACUCUGAUG